GUCCGUGUUCGGUACUCGCACGGCGCGCCCCCGGCGGGUGAGAAAACAAAAAGCCGCUCCUCCGCGCUGUGUCCCCCUACAGACGUUUGGAAGGCUCCCACUUUCUUCCGCGCGCUCGUCUGCAGCGACGACUUUUAGGUUUUUUUGAGUUGGAAACGCCGAUUCAGGGGAAAAACCGAGUCGCCGGCAGACACCACGGCUUCUUCAAGUGUGUGCGCCGCCAGCCCUUUGGUUCAAACUGCGACACGUAUCGUACACUGAACUCGCAUUGAGAACGAGUCUUCCCCGUUUUUCGGCAAAUCGAGGUUCGCUGGUCACAAACGCACACAGGCUACACGGCAGGUGCAUAGAGAGAGUUCUGCAUGCAGGCGGCUCUUCAAACUGUCCUGUAGAACUCUGGCUAGCGCGCAUUACGGGUGGGUCUUUGCCGUGCGAACCCCCAAAGCGUCCAGCUGAAAUCCCUGAGACCGACCGACUCGGCCUUCCUGACUCGGAUGCAUCCCGCGGCCUCCUUCACUGACAUGCUUUCCGCGAACCUUCACAUGCCCCGUGUCUACAAACUCCCCAACUUGUCCCCCCCCCCCCCCCCUGCGAAAAAAGUUGUCAGUUGCACCACUGCCGCAAGACAGCGUCGAAGGCGGGGUCGGAAUGCAACGUGCCGAUUUUCCGAUCCGGAAACGAUCCGAUAUCCCGCUGCGGCCCCGCGACUUCUUCGAUGUACUCCGCCGUUAGUUUUCGCCGACGGGGCACGGGAAGAGUCGUCAAACGGCCAAGUUCAGCUUUUUCGCCUUUCCGUUCGCUCGCCGUCGCCGCGAGCGCGUCGUCCUCCGAAGACGCGUCGCUGUCUUCCCCGCUCGACUCGCCUUCCCCCGGCCGCGCAGCGCUGGCCCCCGAAAAGCUGCCGGUUCGCGCCCUGCGACCAGAGUCGACCUUUCUGGAAACGGAUCCCGAGCGUCGUCCCAGGCGCUCGCGCUGGCCGUCGGUCUCUUCCUGGCUGCCGUCGAGGAAAACCAGGAGAAGCGCAAUUCCCACGCAGGCUGCGGCCGUGAGUCCGGCGAGGACCACCCCGCCGUCUGAGAGGAAACUGAGGACACCCUGCAACGCCCCGGUGGAAAGCGCAGCCGUCGAGAUCUCGCCCUCGCACCCUUCCGCUGUACAUCCUCCGCGCUCGGGCUGGUCCGUCGCCUGUCGCGCGUCUUGGCCGGAGCUCAGGCAGAGCCCGACAAGCAGACCAAUACAGGCGCUGAACAGACCGGAGACGGCGACAAGGAGAGCAAUCACGUAGGGCGACACGGUGUGCGAGGCCUCUUGGCGCGCUCGCGCAUUUCUUCGCGACCGCUUCCUCUCCAGAGACGCGUCGCUGUCUGAGCAGGCUCGCUUUGAGAAGACUUCCCACGCCGACGACGCCGAAGACGCCGAGCACGAGGAAGCGAAGGACGGGCGGCGACUCCGCGCAGGACUGCUCGACCUGUGGCCUGCGCCCGCCGAGACCUCGCCAGGCGCGUCCCGCUCGAGAACCGUCUUCAACUCUUGUUGUUUUUGCCGCAGCAACACGAGCAGCUUCUGUUGCAACUCGCGUCCCUUGGCCAGCGCGGCGGUCUGCCGUUCCUCGACAGUCUGCUCACUCAGCGGCUUGGUCACGACCUCGUUGUAACUUCGUUUGCGGCCUCGCGGAGGCCCCGGUUCCCCGCGCUGCGCCCGGUCCGUGCCGUCUUCUGGCCCCUCGCCCGCAGCACACAAAGCCGGUUGCUCAUCGUCAGAAACUUCCUCAAUCUUUGGGAUCUCUCGCUGUGUCGGAGACGGCGCCUGCGUUCUUCGGCCCGCUCCCUCGUUCCCCCGCCCCGGCGGUCCUUUUUCGCCCCCCGGUGCCCCAGCGCUUCCCGCGCGAGCGUCAUUUCGAGUCUCUGGACCGACUUCCCCCGGGGAACUGCGGUCCUCGAGCCUUGCCUGCCGCGAAACCGCCUCGUCGUCGCCGGGCGCUCGCAACUCCGAGGCUUCCGUCUUCGCCGACCAUGCGGACGCGCGUCUCCCUUGUUUCCCGUCAUCAGAACCCGGCUCGGUGGGCGGGGAACUCAGCGGCUCGCCAGGCGGCCCAGAGGCGUCGCCCCGCAGCAUGGCCUUGAAGGCAGACGCGGACGGUUCCUACUCUGGUGUCCCGUACGAGUCGGCACCAGUCACCGGCAAAGCAUUGUCCGUUGUUCUCUUCCAAACAACGCGCCCACCUCUUUCGCCUUGACGAAGUCGUCCUGCUGGAGAUGCGCGAGGCCUCUGCGGUAGAAGGCCUUCACGUUCUUCGGGUCCAUCUCGAGAGCCUGCAGGCCGGAAAGAAGAACAGGGCUGUUUAGGAAUGGGUUGGCCGCACACAACACUCCAACAGAGGCAGCUAUACGCACGGCUGUUAACGAGAAGCCGCGUACCCCAACCUGCAUGAGGGGGGGGGGGGAGGGGGAGAAACUCCAGGCUGGUCGCUAGCUGCGUAAAGCGCUUGUGUCAGUCUGUGUCCCCGUCACAGAGUGUGUCAUCAUGAGACGCCGGCCAGUUUCGCGAGUUUUUCCUGCGGGGUUUGUGAGAACGGUUAUGCUUUCUCGGCACCUGUGUAGGGUUACGCGCACGUGCCCACGCUUCCAGAUUUCCACGCGAUGCACAUAUUGGGCGGAUGCAUCUCACGUCCCAGUCCACGCACUUCCCGGUGGAAGCUGGGCAAUUCUCUGUAAACGAAGAGAGCUACAAGGAUGCAGGAAAAGGGGAAUGCGCGGGCGCCUGGGGCAAAGCCGACCUGUCGACUGUCUUCCGACUCACCAGGCGGCACUGUAUGUACACCUCGUCGUAGUCCUGCUGGUGCAGCUUGCAGGCCGCGAGGUUGAGAUGGCAAGGCAGUUUCACGGAAUCCAUUCGCUCCUGCUCCUCGUCAGUAUCUGGAAACGUGUAGUCGAACUGAAGGAGAGCCUGGACGACAGACGGGAACAAAGAAAGGACCACACAAAUAUGCAUCCAGACACAGACAGCUCAGCACAACGUUAACUUCUGCAUCGACACUAUAGCCAUGUCACGCACCACACAGCCACCUAUAUACACGAAUAUAUGUUUCACAUUUAUGUAGAUGAUAAAACACUUAUGAACAUGCUUGCAUAUGCACCAGUGCCUUCGAAAUCGAUGUAGAGGAAUGUUCUUUGUGUAAAUGCCAAGGUAGGUGCAUGCAUGCAAAUGGGGGGGCGACAUGCGGGUGUACCUUGCGGUAAUUGACUGCUGCGAGCCCGUAAUUCUUCUCGCGGAAAGCGGCGUUUCCUUCUUGUCGAAAUCUACGAAGAGCAGAGACACGACAGCGACGAAUGCACACAGUGCUUUGUGUCAGGUGAAAUUCGCACACAGGACACUCGAAACGAAUCCUCGAAGCAGAGAGGAGAGCCGACCAAAAGACAGAAACGUCAUCAAGGUCGCUGUGCCUUCCUGUGAGGAAACCGACAAGGAGACCCAGAGCGGGAAGACGCGGAGUUAAGCUACGAACAAAGCGUCUCCACGGGUGAGACAUAUGGUCGAAGACAAGAACAAGGGACCUCCACGCUUCCGUGCCUCUCCCUUUCUGCGUCUUUCCUCGCAGAAAACUCGCAGACCGCCCGCGCGGACGCCUCUCGCCUCAGAAGAACUCGACAGAAGACGUCAGCAAUUGAAGGCCAGAACCCAGUUCUACGUUUCGAUCCCUUCUCCAGGGAAAUGGACAACGGUUGGGGAAUUGCAUGGAACAUCGAUUUCCCGCAGACGGAUCACGAAGACGGCUGACGGCGAAGAGAAAGGGAAACCCUGAACCCUACAAACGGGGAAAGCGGGGGCAAAUGCCAAAUGCGUCUGCCGUUUCAGAAAAGUGAGACACAAUUUCUGCGAAGGUCAAUGAAGUUACAUCCGGAAACCGCAGAGAUCAAGGCCAAAACGGGUCCUCACCUCUCCGCUGCGUCGAUCUUCUCCCCUGUCGGUUUCUCGUAAAUUUGGCGUUCCUGCAACAAGGUGCGCACAAGAGAAGCGACGUGGAACGAAGCAGUGCGCAGAAGGAGAACGACGCAUGGAAGUAAAGUACCAGAAAACGAUUGAGAACCACGAAACUCAAGCGGUCGCAAAAGGCGUGUAUACGUAAUUGGGUGCGUGAAAACGGAUACAUAGAUGGACGUACUCUGACGCGUGGUGAGUGAAAACCCAGACGGUUCAACAGUAGCUUCUCACGCGACAGUGCAUCGACACCACUUGCGACGCCGAACAAACAAACCGGUGGCGACUUAGAACCGUGGAAGGUGCGCGUGAGAGAUGGGGUUUCGCACCGCGUGUGUCGGUCGUUGUUGCUGUCUUGAUCGUUUUGUAUCUACACCUAAACACAAGUACUCGUUCGGCCUCGCCGUGUACGCAUAUGAUUCCUAAUUAGAGCUGAAGGCGAUACAGCCCCCCGGAACGCGUUACCCUUUCGCAUGCAGUGAGGUAAACAGAU
rnacentral:lncRNA from 1 species